ACUAGAGUAGCACUCGCAUAUCAAUAAGCGGAGGAAAAGAAACUAACAAGGAUUCCCCUAGUAACGGCGAGUGAAGCGGGAAGAGCUCAAAUUUGAAAUCUUAAAGGGUUUCCCUUUACGAAUUGUAGUUUAAAGAAGUGUUUUCUGUUGAGGUUUUGGUAAAAGUUCUUUGGAAUAGGACAUCAUAGAGGGUGAGAAUCCCGUAUUUGACCUUUACUUUCAACUUUGUGAUACACUUUCAAAGAGUCGGAUUGUUUGGGAAUGCAGUCCAAAAUGGGUGGUAAAUUUCAUCUAAAGCUAAAUAUUGGCGAGAGACCGAUAGCGAACAAGUACCGUGAGGGAAAGAUGAAAAGAACUUUGAAAAGAGAGUUAAACAGUACGUGAAAUUGUCAAAAGGGAAGCGUUUGACACCAGUGUUGUUUUUCUGAAAAUCAAUUAAAGAACUGUUUAUGCUAAGCUGUUUAGACUUUAUCAGCUAUACUGUUUAGUUUUGAGCUUUUCUUUAAUGCACUUUUCAGUUAACAAGUCAACAUCAAUUUCUUUUGCUGUAAAAAAGCUUGAGGAAGGUGGCUUGAGAUUCGUCUUAAGUGUUUAUAGCCUCUUGCCUAUGCAGUCGGAGAGAUUGAGGUCUGCAGCGUAGAUCCUUCGGGGCUAAAUGCAUUUGUGCUAAGUUAUAGCAUUUUAUAGACAACUUGUUGACUAUGAUUUGUCUUGUAGCUUACUCGCUUAUGUUAUUUUACCUACGCUUAGGAUGUUGAGCGCAUGUCUCUCUCU
rnacentral:rRNA from 1 species